rnacentral:rRNA from 1 species
UACGGGGGGGGCAAGCGUUGUUCGGAAUUACUGGGCGUAAAGGGCUCGUAGGUGGCCAACUAAGUCAGACGUGAAAUCCCUCGGCUUAACCGGGGAACUGCGUCUGAUACUGGAUGGCUUGAGUUUGGGAGAGGGACGCGGAAUUCCAGGUGUAGCGGUGAAAUGCGUAGAUAUCUGGAGGAACACCGGUGGCGAAGGCGGCGUCCUGGACCAAUACUGACACUGAGUGAGCGAAAGCCAGGGGAGCAAAACGGGG